GGGCAGGCGGUCACGUGGGGUUAGCACAGGGGGACCUGGAGAGUGUCCAGCACAAUCCCUUCAUUUUCCAGAUGAGGACACUGAGGGCCCUGGCGUCGGGGACCUGUUCAAGGUCACCCUGUGAGUGAGCAGCUGCUGCCUGGCAGGCCGGCUCGUCCUGGACUCUGGUGACCGCAGAUUCCAACAGGAGGCUGGAGCCCAGCUGGGGGUGGGCUUCUGACAGUGAUUGGCUCAGGGGAGGAGAAGCCAGGGGCAUGGACAGAUCCGGGUUUUUAAAUUUUGGUUAUGGGGAUUGAACCCAGAGGCACUUAGCCACUGAGCCCCAUCCCCAGCCCUAUUUGUGUUUUAUUUAGAGACAGGGUCUCCCUGAGUUGCUUAGGGCCUGGCUAAGUUGCUGAGGCUGGCUUUGAACUCGUGAUCCUCCUGCCUCAGCCUCCCGAGGCCCUAGAUCUGGGUCGGAAGCUUGGCUUGGACACCCAGUAGCUGGCUGACCUUGGGCAGCUCGGUUACCUCCCUGGCCUCAGUUUCUCCCACAGAGUGGACACAGAAGAGAUGGAUAAUGCGCUGAGUGCGCCCAUCACCCGACCUGAUCCACUAAACUCUGAACGCCUGGCCCGAGGGAAGCUGCCUUCCCCUGCUUUGGCAAAGGGCAGAAAAGCAGCAGAUUAAGGAGAUAAGCACGGGCCAGGAGCACUGAGGCCUGACAGACACCGGACUCUCCACCAGCCUGCUGGGUCUCCAACGCCCCCCAACCUCUGCACCCCGGCCCCUCCCACUGGAGACAAACCAAGAGUGGGAUGACAGAGGCUGCAGAUAAAGAAUUCAAUUUUCUUUUAAACGGUGGGGAAAUUGGAAGAGAUUUUGUUCUGUUUAAGCACAGCUGGAGUCUCAGGUCUCAAGGGGUUUGAGAACAAUGAGAUCAAUUAAGAUGCCAAUGCUUCAUACGAUGGCAGACUCAAGUUGAACCCAUAUGGUGAUACGCCGUUGAGGCUGCUGUCCCAGGAGGCCACAGAAACCCAGGCAGCUGGCCCACAGAGGCACUGGCACUGCAUGGGGGCCUCCUGGGGUUCGCAGGCCCUGGACCAUGACCUCGAUGGACACCAUCUCACUGGGCGGCUGCUGAGUCAGGACAACCUGCCCAAGGCCUGUCUGCAGACAGAA